rnacentral:rRNA from 1 species
UACGAAGGGGGCUAGCGUUGCUCGGAAUUACUGGGCGUAAAGGGCGCGUAGGCGGACAGUUUAGUCAGAGGUGAAAGCCCAGGGCUCAACCCUGGAAUUGCCUUUGAUACUGACUGUCUUGAGUACGGGAGAGGUGAGUGGAACUCCGAGUGUAGAGGUGAAAUUCGUAGAUAUUCGCAAGAACACCAGUGGCGAAGGCGGCUCACUGGCCCGAUACUGACGCUGAGGCACGAAAGCGUGGGGAGCAAACAGG